rnacentral:rRNA from 1 species
GCAUAAUAAAUAGGUUCUUAAUUAGGAUCUGGAAUGAAAGGUAUUGACUGAAAAGAGAGUUUUAUUUGGUAGAUUUGAAUUUAAAUUUAAGGUAAAAAUGCCUUUAUAAAUUUCUGGGACGAGAAGACCCUAGAAGCUUUAAAAAUUUGUAUAAUUUUUGGUUGGGGUAAUCAAGUGAAGAUAUAAAUUUUUAAGUAAUUAAGGUUUAGAAUAUUAAGUUACUCUAGGGAUAACAGCAUAAUUUAAUUAGCAAGUUCUUAUUAAUAAUUAAGUUUGUGACCUCGAUGUUGAAUUAAUU